AGUGAACGCUGGCGGCAGGCCUAACACAUGCAAGUCGAGCGGCAGCGCGGGGGCAACCCUGGCGGCGAGCGGCGGACGGGUGAGGAAUACAUCGGAAUCUACCCAGUCGUGGGGGAUAACGUAGGGAAACUUACGCUAAUACCGCAUACGACCUGAGGGUGAAAGCAGGGGACCGCAAGGCCUUGCGCGAUUGGAUGAGCCGGUGUCCGAUUAGCUAGUUGGUGAGGUAAAGGCUCACCAAGGCGACGAUCGGUAGCUGGUCUGAGAGGAUGAUCAGCCACACUGGAACUGAGACACGGUCCAGACUCCUACGGGAGGCAGCAGUGGGGAAUAUUGGACAAUGGGCGCAAGCCUGAUCCAGCCAUGCCGCGUGUGUGAAGAAGGCCUUCGGGUUGUAAAGCACUUUUGUCCGGGAAGAAAAGCCAGGGAUUAAUACCCCCGGGUUCUGACGGUACCGGAAGAAUAAGCACCGGCUAACUUCGUGCCAGCCGCCGCCGUAAAAC
rnacentral:rRNA from 1 species